rnacentral:rRNA from 1 species
UACGGAGGGGGCUAGCGUUGUUCGGAAAUACUGGGCGUAAAGCGAACGUAGGCGGCUUAGCAAGUCAGGGGUGAAAUCCCAGAGCUCAACUCUGGAACUGCCUUUGAAACUGCUUCGCUUGAAUCCUGGAGAGGCGAGUGGAAUUCCGAGUGUAGAGGUGAAAUUCGUAGAUAUUCGGAAGAACACCAGUGGCGAAGGCGACUCGCUGGACAGGUAUUGACGCUGAGGUUCGAAAGCGUGGGGAGCAAACAGG